rnacentral:rRNA from 1 species
GAUGAACGCUGGCGGCGUGCCUAAUACAUGCAAGUCGAGCGAAUGGAUUAAGAGCUUGCUCUUAUGAAGUUAGCGGCGGACGGGUGAGUAACACGUGGGUAACCUGCCCAUAAGACUGGGAUAACUCCGGGAAACCGGGGCUAAUACCGGAUAACAUUUUGAACCGCACGGUUCGAAACUGGAAGGCGGCUUCGGCUGUCACUUAUGGAUGGACCCGUGUCGCAUUAGCUAGUUGGUGAGGGAACGGCUCACCAAGGCAACGAUGCGUAGCCGACCUGAGAGGGUGAUCGGCCACACUGGGACUGAGACACGGCCCAGACUCCUACGGGAGGCAGCAGUAGGGAAUCUUCCGCAAUGGACGAAAGUCUGACGGAGCAACGCCGCGUGAGUGAUGAAGGCUUUCGGGUCGUAAAACUCUGUUGUUAGGGAAGAACAAGUGCUAGUUGAAUAAGCUGGCACCUUGACGGUACCUAACCAGAAAGCCACGGCUAACUACGUGCCAGCCGCCGCAGUAA